AUGGACGAAUCCCAUAAAAUGGGAUUCCUCGGAGCCACGUCAUAUGUGAUCGGUAAUAUUAUCGGGUCAGGAAUCUUUAUCACACCAGCAUCAAUUCUUCGAAAUGUCGAUAGUAUUGGUCUGAGCUUGCUCAUUUGGGUGCUCUGUGCAGUUAUUGCUAUUUUGGGUGCAAUUUGUUACAUCGAAUUAGGCACCUCAAUUCGAGAAGCCGGCUGUGAUUUCGCUUACAUUUGUUACGUGAAAUGGUACUCAAUUGCUUUUGCGUUCAUGUGGGUCUCCGUCCUGAUGACAUAUCCCGCCACAAUUGCAAUUUGUGCAGAAACGUUCGGGCAGUACCUUAUAGAGGGUCUGAAACAGUACUACGAAAUCGACGAUGCCCUCGUGCCGACGUGCCAAAAGUUGUUUGCGUAUUCGUUAUUAUUUCUCGUCACGUGGAUGAACUUCUUUGAGUUGAGCAAGUUUGCAGCUCGCUUUCAAAUUCUUGCAACAAUCGCCAAGCUCUUCUCGUGUAUGCUCAUCAUCGGGACCGGCUUCUAUUUUUAUUUCGUGAAAGGAUGGCAUGGCUAUUUGGAAAACCCGAUGCAAGGUUCAAAAUACGGAACUGGUAACCUUAUCCUAGGAUUCUAUGGUGGUCUCUGGGCGUUCUCCGGGUGGGACGUGCUCAACUAUAGUACCGGAGAGAUCAAGCAUCCGAAGCGAAACGUGCCCUUUGCACUACUCACCGGAAUCAGUGUCGUCACGGCGAUCUACGUGGCGAUCAAUGUGGCCUACUUCGUGGUGCUCGACGUGGAGACGGUGAAACAAUCGGAUGCAGUCGCUGCGGUACCCAAUUCCUAAAGGCUCUCUUAAUUCAAUAGUCCACUUUCUACUCAAUUUCAGAUUUUUAGUCGUGAGACGCUUGGCGAUUUUGCGAACGUCGUGCCCUUUCUCAUUGGUAUUCUGCUCAUCGGAUCGUUGAACAGCAACCUCUUCUCGGGCAGCAGGUACAUGUAUGCGGCGGCCAGGCAAGGACAUCUUCCAGCAUGCUUCUCGUGUGUCAAUACAGAGACAGAGUCGCCAAGGGUGGCGGUUCUAGCGCAGAGUGUCCUCGCGCUUGUGAUCUCCUACAUCGGGGACCUCGACACCCUCAUCACCUACGUGAUGUUCGGCUUCUGGGCUCAGAGAAUCUUCAGUCUCGUCGCCCUCCUCAUCAUCCGCCACAAUCACAUUCCGGUGCAUCCCGACGCGGUUCGAGUUCCGCUUUUUUGUAUCUAUCUGUUUUUGGCGAUCACCGUGGCUCUUGUCAUCAUCCCAAUCUUCUAUGAGUUCCAGUCAACUGCGCUGGCUAUCGCGAUUUGUCUUUUCGGAUUCGUCUUGUACUAUGUCUUCAUUCACAAGGCGAUUUUCCCAAGAUGGCUUGUUGCUCUUAACAAAAAAGUAACCUUGUGGUGUUGCAUAUUAUUCGACUGCCUGCCAGAUGUCAAAGGCGGUGUCCAGCUUCUUGCGUCCGACAGUUCACAGGCCUUGCUUUCUGAGAGACUCUCAUCGACGCGGCUUUCUGACGACAGUUUCCCCGAUCUCCACUCUGAUGAGAAAAAUAUUAUGCGAAGGAAUGGUAGUGCAGCUGGAUUGAAAAUGCUAAUCUCCAGUGUGCCGUCAUCUCUUGUGGAUCUUAUCAGUGAUGUUCAGUAG
rnacentral:misc_RNA from 1 species